GGUUGAUUGCCAUCAGGGGACCGAGCGCGGUCCGCUCGGUCUUUUGCCAUGGACCAUCAGACAGCAUUGGCCGUGAGGCAUUGGGUGUCGCUGGGACCGCCAGACUUGAAAAGGUUAAGAGGCACAACCACGGCGACGACAGCGCGGACAAGGUGACCACCAGUGAGUGGACGGGUGCCCAAAAGGAGGACAUGAGUGUCCCCCGUGAUUGUCGGUCCUCGCCUGCGGCGCCUCAAUGCGCUCGCCCCUUUUGCAAAAAAGACCUGCCGAUCGACCGCACCCGUGCGCGCCCUCUUUGAUCCGCUAGGGAAAAAACGCUGCGCCGCAACAAGGUGCGCAUGGGUCUGCCGCCGAUUCUGGGACCGCGUCGUGGUCGACCACCAAAGCCACCCAGGUCUGUGCCGAGGCCCGCCAGAGCCGACAAUGUGUGGAUGCGAUGGCGUCGCAUAUGGGCAUCAUGGUGGGGCGGUGCCGAUGUACCCCAUUCCUUUGACGUGGUGCCAAUGGCCGUCCACACGGCGACGUCAACACCCCAGUGACCGACAACGGGGGAAAAGAGACGCUCGUGCCCGCUUCUUCUCGUUGACUUGCUUGUUUCUUUUUUCCACGCCUUUUUCUUGGACGCCAUUACGCACGAGUUGGGCGGCAUGGAGAGGCCAGAUAGAAAACCUAGGACAGCGCCGAUGCGACAUGAAAAGGAGCGCCACGACAACGAUGGUGACAUCAACACCAAAAAAACCAGAGUGGGAA
rnacentral:lncRNA from 1 species